rnacentral:rRNA from 1 species
GCUGGGGGUGAAAGGCCAAUCAAACCGGGAGAUAGCUGGUUCUCCCCGAAAGCUAUUUAGGUAGCGCCUCGUGAACUCAUCUCCGGGGGUAGAGCACUGUUUCGGCUAGGGGGCCAUCCCGGCUUACCAACCCGAUGCAAACUGCGAAUACCGGAGAAUGUUAUCACGGGAGACACACGGCGGGUGCUAACGUCCGUCGUGAAGAGGGAAACAACCCAGACCGCCAGCUAAGGUCCCAAAGUCAUGGUUAAGUGGGAAACGAUGUGGGAAGGCACAGACAGCCAGG